CCUUUUGACAUUAUACAAUGGGGGUAUUUAUAAUGAUACAUAUGGAAUGGGAGCCCUUGGAUGAAGUGGCACGUGGCCUUAUCUCCUCGGUUUAAAUGUCUGUUCUUAGGCAUGGGAUUUGACUUGCUAGCUUACGGCGCAUUUAUUGCUUGUGCAGGGCCUCCAUGCUAGUGACAAGACUUGACCUUUAUGCUUAUGACACACAUUCCAU
rnacentral:lncRNA from 1 species